UUAUAUAUCAUAAUUUUGACUCAUAUUACAAAUUCAUAUUUUUAGCUGCUCAUAAAAAUCUCAAUUAUCAAGUUAGUGUCAUGAAACCUAGACAAUUAGGUUAAGUAAAUGAUUCUUAUUUACCAUUACUAACAUCCAUAUUUGUCAUUUAAGCUGAUACUUCAUAAACACUAUAAAACAUGUUUUUUAUAUGAUAAUAUUGACUGAUAUUACAAAUUCAUACUUUGAACUGCCUGUAAAACACUGUAUUCUCAACUUAUUCUCCAACGGUUAUACGUUAUUAACUUACUACAUUUUUUUCAGAUGGCAGUAUAUCAGAUCAAUCAAGGCAUGCUGAGACACGAAUUCACAUUUCUACCACUAAGGAGAGUAUCAACAUCCUAGGUUGAAAAUGGACUAGAAGAUACUGAUAAUAAUAUUGGAUUUAUGCAAUGAUGGCAGUACAGCAGAUCAUUCAAUACAUGCCGAGACAUGAAUUCACAUUUCUACCACUAUGCUAAAUAUCAAUAUCCUACGUUGAAAAUGUACUAGACGAUACUGCUAAUAACAAGGGUUUUGUGCAACGUGCGUGUAAUGGAUGGCAGUACAGCAGAUCACUCAAUACAUGCUGAGACAUGAAUUCACAUUUCUACCACUAUGCAAAACAUCAACAUCCUACGUUGAAAAUGGACUAGACAGUACUGCUAAUAAUAAUGGUUUUGUGCAACGUGCGUGUAAUGGAUGGCAGUACUGCAGAUCACUGGAGGCAUGCUGAGACAUGAAUUAACAUUUCUAUCACUUGGGAAAGUUACAACAUUUUCCGUUGAAAAUGGAAUAGAAG